CAAGUCCAUGCCAUUCCCUUCCACAGCUUUCUUGAACUUCUCUUGUACAAAACCUCCAAAACACAGGUAGGAGGGAGAGAAGAAGAGGGUCAAGAAAGCUGUGGGAAGGGAUGGCAAUUCAGGACUUC
rnacentral:miRNA from 15 species